rnacentral:lncRNA from 1 species
CUCUGACCGCCAGGGAACAACCCUCCCUUUGACUGUAAUUUUCCUUUACCUACCCAAAUCCUGUAAAACGGCCCCACCCCUUUCUCCCUUCACUGACUCUCUUUUCGGACUCAGCCUGCCUGCACCCAGGUGAUUAAAAGCUUUUAUUGCUCACACAAAGCCUGUUUGGUGGUCUCUUCACACGGAGGCGCAUGAAAUUUGGUGCCGUGACUCGGAUCAGGGGACUUCCCUUGGGAGAUCAAUCCCCUGUCCUCCUGUUCUUUGCUCGUGAGAAAGAUCCACGUACGACCUCAGGUCCUCAGACCGACCAGCCCAGUAAACAUCUCACCAAUUUAAAAUCCGACGCUGAUUGUUCUCCACUCAUAUCUCCCACCUUGAUCACCUCAUCAACCACUGCCUAACUUCCAAGAGAAAGCCAACCCCUGGCUUCUUGGCUUCUUUUCCUGAGGGUGCUCUCCUGUCCCUGAAGACUCAUUUGCCACCUUCAUGACAGCCUGCAAGAGCCAGGAAAUGAACCAUCAUGGAGCAGUCCUCAUCAAAAACAUCUAAUGACCAAUGGCAUUGACAUAUGGACACUCAUCUACAUUCCCUUCCCGUGGCAGCUAGCUUAGAGGCACCUGUUUUGACUUUAGCAACUGGCCUCCCUUCCCUGUCUCAUUUCCCCAUAACCCCAUGUAUUUCUUUCAAUUCACAAAUAAACCACUUGUAUGAAUCUUCAUCUAAGAAUCUGCUUUAAGAAGAACUCAACCUAAGGCAGGCAUUACCCAAAUGGGAAGGUAAAAUAUUAUUUAUCAAAGCAAAUGCGAUAUCAGCCGACGGCAGAGAACAGCUCACACAAACCCCUCUGGCCUUCCUUGUCUGAAUUCAAUAAGUUCAACAAAUAUUUAUAAAGUGAGGCCUAGAUAUAACACAUUUCCCCCAGUUAUUUAACAAGAGUAGAAAUGUGUAAUAAGGUACUUCAUUCCAUACAGGAAGUUUAACAAAUUUUACAAAGUUCUUUCCAAAGGCAAGUAAAAAAAUAUAUAUAUAUUAUUCAUAUAAGAUAAUAUAGAUAUAAAAAUAUAUAUGGUUUUUCAUAAGGCGAACCCUCUUUCUUGGAAUGGCAUUUCUGAUCAAUUCCAUAAAAUGGCAAUUUUGUCAGAAUCACUUAUCUAGUGAUGAGGUUCAAUCACAUAACGAUUUUUAGCUUAUGAUGGUUUCGAAUUUCCUUGAGCUAACCCUGAUAAGGUGGAUGGGUUAAUUAUAUUUUUGAAGGAAUUUGAAGACAGUAAGAUGUGUAUGCAGUUCAAUAUAUCCUUCUUAUAAGAAAUGAUGUUUACCUUUAGUAGAUUUAUGAUUGUACAUUUGUUAAGAUAGUAACUUUAAGGAAAGGACAUUUUUUAACGCAAGUAUUAUUUUGUAUGAGUAGCUUCCAAAUCAGUUGGCCAUUGGAUUAUUUGAGAGUUAUGUAUUAGUUUCACAUCAGUUUCCUCUUACUGUCAAAAUUUUAAAAUGUAGUUCAGGUUUACAAACCAGAAGAUUUUAUGCAUUUAUAGCUAAAAAUUUCCUUUCCAUGUACGUAAUAUUUAUGUAUCUGUGACAUGAGUCAUUUGAUUUGAUGUCUGCUUAACUGAAAUGUGAUGAGUUGACAUUAUCAAACGGAGCAGAUUUUCUGAAACUUUAAGCCAAAUGUUCCAGGGUAUGUUCGGAAGGAUUGGCAAAGCAGGGGGCCGAGGGAGGUAAGGGGACAGUGCAUAAAAGCAGCAGAUGCUGUCACAUAGGGUUAGUCCAAUAUUAUCAUUAAAAUCCAUUUGAGUAAAGCAGAUAAGUCAAUUAUCUUAUAUGAAUAUUUAAUUAUAUUAUUUCUACUAAUGUUAUUUUUCUGGGGUUAUUGUUGCAAUGCAAUAUAGCCUGUUUCUUAAAGGAAUAACUCUGAACUUUACAACAAUCCAAGGAAAUUAAAGCCUUUUUGAAAAAUAAACCAUUAUAGAUUGAAGAUUAUGAAAGCUGAGCAAUACAUUUAAUGACUCAUUGUAAAAUUUAGGAUCAACAGAAUCUUUUAAAUAACAGUGUUGAUCCUCAGUGUAUUUUAUUUCACAAUUUGAAUAUUAUUCUGUACUGCUAAGUCAUAUUUCAUAUUCAUUAAUAAAAUAAAUAUUUAUUGAGUGUCUUCAGUGUGCC